rnacentral:tRNA from 1 species
AUGGCAGAUUAGUGCAAAGGAUUUAAAAACCUUAUAUAAAGAUAUAUUAUCUUUUAUUAAAA